GUUCGGUUGCAGAUGCCCCCGCUGAACCACUCACCAUUCUCAAAGUGUGACGGUGUCCAAGUCCUAUACAUAAUGUAAGGCUUGUGAUCAGAGUUUGCGACGAAGUCGUAAAACUGUCGAAGGACUUUGCGAUAAGAGUACUCCAGUCCCACCUCUAUAAAGUUCUUUUCUUGACAAGCAUGACAGCCAAUUACUGUGUUGUUCUCCAAGUAGAUGGCUGGUUUGAGA
rnacentral:misc_RNA from 1 species